GAGUUUGAUCGUGGCUCAGGAUGAACGCUAGCGGCAGGCCUAACACAUGCAAGUCGAGGGGUAGAGUUAGCUUGCUAACUUGAGACCGGCGCACGGGUGCGUAACGCGUAUGCAAUCUACCUUGUACAGGGGGAUAGCCCAGAGAAAUUUGGAUUAAUACCCCAUAGUGUUAUCGAAUCGCAUGGUUUGAUAACUAAAGUUCCAACGGUACAAGAUGAGCAUGCGUCCCAUUAGCUAGUUGGUGUGGUAACGGCAUACCAAGGCAAUGAUGGGUAGGGGUCCUGAGAGGGAGAUCCCCCACACUGGUACUGAGACACGGACCAGACUCCUACGGGAGGCAGCAGUGAGGAAUAUUGGUCAAUGGGCGCAAGCCUGAACCAGCCAUGCCGCGUGCAGGAUGACGGUCCUAUGGAUUGUAAACUGCUUUUAUACGGGAAGAAACACUCCUACGUGUAGGAACUUGACGGUACCGUAAGAAUAAGGAUCGGCUAACUCCGUGACAGCCGCCGCGGUAAC
rnacentral:rRNA from 1 species